AGUGAACGCUGGCGGUAGGCCUAACACAUGCAAGUCGAACGGCAGCACAGUAAGAGCUUGCUCUUACGGGGCGAGUGGCGGACGGGUGAGGAAUACAUCGGAAUCUACUUUUUCGUGGGGGAUAACGUAGGGAAACUUACGCUAAUACCGCAUACGACCUACGGGUGAAAGCAGGGGAUCUUCGGACCUUGCGCGAUUGAAUGAGCCGAUGUCGGAUUAGCUAGUUGGCGGGGUAAAGGCCCACCAAGGCGACGAUCCGUAGCUGGUCUGAGAGGAUGAACAGCCACACUGGGACUGAGACACGGUCCAGACUCCUACGGGAGGCAGCAGUGGGGAAUAUUGGACAAUGGGCGCAAGCCUGAUCCAGCCAUACCGCGUGGGUGAAGAAGGCCUUCGGGUUGUAAAGCCCUUUUGUUGGGAAAGAAAAGCAGCAGGUUAAUACCCCGCUGUUCUGACGGUACCCAAAGAAUAAGCACCGGCUAACUUCGUG
rnacentral:rRNA from 1 species